rnacentral:ncRNA from 1 species
CAACCUCAACUCAUAUGGGACUACCCCCUGAAAUUUAAGCAUAUUUAAUUAGGGGAGGAAAAGAAACUACACAAGGAUUUUUCUUAGUAGCGGCGAGCGAAAAGAAAUCAGUUCAGCACUAAGUCACUUUGUCUAUAUGGCAAAUGUGAGAUGCAGUGUACGGAACAUCAACAUUCUAGUAUGAGAAGUUAACGAUUUAAGUCCUUCUUAAAUGAGGCCAUUUACCCAUAGAGGGUGCCAGGCCCGUAUAACGUUAAUGAUUACUAGAUGGUGUUUCCAAAGAGUCGUGUUGCUUGAUAGUGCAGCACUAAGUGGGUGGUAAACUCCAUCUAAAACUAAAUAUAACCAUGAGACCGAUAGUAAACAAGUACCGUGAGGGAAAGUUGAAAAGAACUCUGAAUAGAGAGUUAAAUAGUACGUGAAACUGCUUAGAGGUUAAGCCCGAUGAACCUGAAUAUCCGUUAUGGAAAAUUCAUCAUUAGAAUUGUAAUAUUUUAAACAAUAUUAUAAUAAUAGUGUGCAUUUUUUCCAUAUAAGGACAUUGUAAUCUAUUAGCAUAAAUAUUUAUCAUAAAAUUAUGUCUGAUUGCUUAUUUGAAUUAUAUGCUUGGCAUUUUAACAUAAAAUAAAAGAUAUAAAUUUGAUAAAGUGCUGAUAGAUUUAUAUGAUUACAGUGCGUUAAUUUUUCGGAAUUAUAUAAUGGCAUAAUUAUCAUUGAUAUUUGUGUUUAUUAUAUGCAUUUGUAUGAUUAACAAUGCGAAAGAUUCAGGAUACCUUCGGGACCCGUCUUGAAACACGGACCAAGGAGUCUAACACUAUGUACAAGUUAUUGGGAUAUAAACCUUAUCUAGGAAUAGAUAUAAUAUUUUAUAGGGUUAGUUUUUUAACUAUUUAUAGUUAAUUAACGCAAUCCCGGGGCGCUCUAUAUAGUUAUGUAUAAUAAUAUUUAUAUUAUC